rnacentral:lncRNA from 1 species
UUGGUUUUAUAUAAACCUAUAUUUCUUGUGCAUUUUUUUAAAUUGACUUUAACAAAAUGAAACACUGAGAACAGGCACAAGCAGAUGUGUCCUUGCAGAUCUGAAAGCUAUUUAAACUAAUCUGACUGACUUUGCACUGUUAACAAGGCUCAGCUGUGAGUAUCAAGUAAACAAAAAGCAGUAACAUCUUGAAUCAUUAUCCAGUGUGAAAGUGUUUGUACUGUGGUGAACCAAGCAUCUAUCAUGUGAACUCUUUACAUUCACCCUCUUCUUCAUCCUGUUGGUUACCUGAAUGGUGGAAUCUUCAGAAAGAAGAUGGCACACACCUUCUGCCUCAUUUCCCUUCAGAAAAAUGCCACUGACACCAGACUAGCCAUUGACAAGGGUGUGUCUUCUCCAUUUCAAGCUGAGCAAUAGGGAAAUGAACUCAGAAAUGAGUCGGGAGCACAGAGACUGCCAACCAGAUGCAAAACUUCCUCAAGAUUUCCUUAAAAUGAAAAAGAAAGCCCAGCAUACUUGACCAGGUAAAUGCCAUUUCUAACUGCACCUUUACCACACUUAUGGUAGUCGGAGGAAGUUGGGACCAAAGAUUUUCUCUUGUUUAAGGAGGAGGAAACUGAAGAGGAAAACAUGUACACGUUUUUCUUUGUUUGUUUUGUUUUGUUUCUGUACGAUGGAAAAGUAAAUCCA